rnacentral:rRNA from 1 species
GACGAACGCUGGCGGCGUGCUUAACACAUGCAAGUCGAACGGAAAGGCCCUGAUUUUGUGGUGUGCUCGAGUGGCGAACGGGUGAGUAACACGUGUGUAACCUGCCCUUGACUUUGGGGUAACUUCAGGAAACUGGGGCUAUUACCGCAUAGGAGCUCCUGCUGCAUGGGGGGGGUUUGAAAGUUUCGGCGGUUGGGGAUGGACUCGCGGUUUAUCAGCUUGUUGGUGGGGUAGUGGCUUACCAAGGCAUUGACGGGUAGCCGGCCUGAGAGGGUGACCGGCCACAUGGGGACUGAGGUACGGCCCAGAGGGCUACGUGGGGCAGCAGGGGGGAAUAUUGCACAAUGGGCGGAAGCCUGAUGCAGCAACGUCGCGUGCGGGAUGACGGCCUUCGGGGUGGAAACCGCUUGCGCCUGUGACGAAGCGUGAGUGACGGUAACGGAUAAAGAAGCACCGGCUAACUACGUG